rnacentral:pre_miRNA from 1 species
AAAGUACUCCCUCCGUCCCAAAAUUCUUGUCUUAGAUUUGUCUAGAUACGGAUGUAUCAAGUCACAUUUUAGUAUUAGAUACAUCAGUAUCUAGACAAAUCUAAGACAAGAAAUUUGGGACAGAGGGAGUAGUUG